rnacentral:rRNA from 1 species
GAUGAACGCUAGCGGGAGGCUUAACACAUGCAAGUCGAGGGGCAGCAUAGGGUAGCAAUACUCUGAUGGCGACCGGCAAACGGGUGAGUAACGCGUAUGCAACCUACCCUGUACAGGGGGAUAACCCGGAGAAAUUCGGACUAAUAUCCCGUAAUAAUAUCCGGAGGCAUCUUUGGAUAUUUAAAGUUUCGACGGUACGGGAUGGGCAUGCGUAACAUUAGCUGGUUGGUAAGGUAACGGCUUACCAAGGCUAUGAUGUUUAGGGGUCCUGAGAGGGUGGUCCCCCACACUGGUACUGAGACACGGACCAGACUCCUACGGGAGGCAGCAGUGAGGAAUAUUGGUCAAUGGGCGCAAGCCUGAACCAGCCAUCCCGCGUGCAGGAAGACGGCCCUAUGGGUUGUAAACUGCUUUUCCAGGGAGAGAAACUUACGCACGUGUUGCGUGACUGACGGUACCCUGGGAAUAAGCAUCGGCUAACUCCGUGCCAGCAGCCGCGGUAAUACGUAGCGU